UGUACACGCUGUGACUAGCAUAUCAAUAAGCGGAGGAAAAGAAACUAACAAGGAUUCCCCUAGUAACGGCGAGUGAAGCGGGAAGAGCUCAAAUUUGAAAUCUUAAAGGGUUUCCCUUUACGAAUUGUAGUUUAAAGAAGUGUUUUCUGUUGAGGUUUUGGUAAAAGUUCCUUGGAUAUAGGACAUCAUAGAGGGUGAGAAUCCCGUAUUUGACCUUUACUUUCAACUUUGUGAUACACUUUCAAAGAGUCGGAUUGUUUGGGAAUGCAGUCCAAAGUGGGUGGUAAAUUUCAUCUAAAGCUAAAUAUUGGCGAGAGACCGAUAGCGAACAAGUACCGUGAGGGAAAGAUGAAAAGAACUUUGAAAAGAGAGUUAAACAGUACGUGAAAUUGUCAAAAGGGAAGCGUUUGACACCAGUGUUGUUUUUCUGAAAAUCAAUUAAAGAACUGUUUAUGCUAAGCUGUUUAGACUUUAUCAGCUAUCUGUUUAGUUUUGAGCUUUUCUUUAAUGCACUUUUCAGUUAACAAGUCAACAUCAAUUUCUUUUGCUGUAAAAAAGCUUGAGGAAGGUGGCUUGAGAUUCGUCUUAAGUGUUUAUAGCCUCUUGCCUAUGCAGUCGGAGAGAUUGAGGUCUGCAGCGUAGAUCCUUCGGGGCUAAAUGCAUUUGUGCUAAGUUAUAGCAUUUCAUAGACAACUUGUUGACUAUGAUUUGUCUUGUAGCUUACUCGCUUAUGUUAUUUUACCUACGCUUAGGAUGUUGACAGCAGUAUAGACUGU
rnacentral:rRNA from 1 species